GCGCGUGUAGCUCAGUUGGUUAGAGCAGGUGAAUGAAAAUCACCUUGUCGGCGGUUCAAGUCCGUCCACGCGCA
rnacentral:tRNA from 1 species